UGGGGAAUAUUGGACAAUGGGCGAAAGCCUGAUCCAGCCAUGCCGCGUGUGUGAAGAAGGUCUUCGGAUUGUAAAGCACUUUAAGUUGGGAGGAAGGGCAGUAAAUUAAUACUUUGCUGUUUUGACGUUACCGACAGAAUAAGCACCGGCUAACUCUGUGCCAGCAGCCGCGGUAAUACAGAGGGUGCAAGCGUUAAUCGGAAUUACUGGGCGUAAAGCGCGCGUAGGUGGUUCGUUAAGUUGGAUGUGAAAUCCCCGGGCUCAACCUGGGAACUGCAUUCAAAACUGACGAGCUAGAGUAUGGUAGAGGGUGGUGGAAUUUCCUGUGUAGCGGUGAAAUGCGUAGAUAUAGGAAGGAACACCAGUGGCGAAGGCGACCACCUGGACUGAUACUGACACUGAGGUGCGAAAGCGUGGGGAGCAAAACAGGAUUAGAUACCCUGGUAGUCCACGCCGUAAACGAUGUCAACUAGCCGUUGGGAGCCUUGAGCUCUUAGUGGCGCAGCUAACGCAUUAAGUUGACCGCCUGGGGAGUACGGCCGCAAGGUUAAAAAC
rnacentral:rRNA from 1 species